GGGCCUAUAGCUCAGCCGGUUAGAGCAUCUGACUCAUAAUCAGGGGGUCCCUGGUUCGAGCCCAGGUGGGCCCA
rnacentral:tRNA from 6 species